AUUGAACGCUGGCGGCAGGCCUAACACAUGCAAGUCGAGCGGAGCGGCGGACGGGUGAGUAAUGCCUAGGAAUCUGCCUGGUAGUGGGGGAUAACGUCCGGAAACGGGCGCUAAUACCGCAUACUAUCAGAUGAGCCUAGGUCGGAUUAGCUAGUUGGUGGGGUAAAGGCCUACCAAGGCGACGAUCCGUAACUGGGCUUAGAGGAUGAUCAGUCACACUGGAACUGAGACACGGUCCAGACGCCUACGGGAGGCAGCAGUGGGGAAUAUUGCACAAUGGGCGCAAGCCGGAUGCAGCCAUGCCGCGUGUAUGAAGAAGGCCGUCGGGUUGUAAAGUACUUUCAGCGGGGAGGCGUUACCCGCAGAAGAAGCACCGGCUAACUCCGUGCCAGCAGCCGCGGUAAUUC
rnacentral:rRNA from 1 species